AUGCUCUACAGAGCUGGAACAGUGGUCUGAUCAGUUUUAUUGUGUUCUCAACAUGUUAGGCCAGGAGAGCAACUGACGGGUAUUCCAAUUCUUGUAUGAAACAAUUGCAUCGUACGGGCAUGUAUGUGUUCAACCGACAUGGACUUAGAUUGGCAUUGCAAACAUGCCAUGCCAGGGAUUCCUUGUUAGUCAUAGAAGAUAAAACAAUGAUGGUAUUGGUAUGAGUAGUUAGUUACGGAUUGAUGGAAUAAAUAGAUUGUUUUUUUGUUUUAUCGUCAAAAGUAUAUAAAGUAUUCUAUGU
rnacentral:lncRNA from 1 species